CUUAUUCUUAAUUAAACAUUUUCAUCUUAUAAAUUGGAUACAAUUGAAGGUGCACUCGUAGAGAAGGACAAAUUUAGCUUGAAGAUUCCUUAUGACAGAGAGGCACAACACAGCAAGAAAGAAGCGUCUGACCAUACUUGCUUUUUAAUCUGCAAUGCUGGUUACAGCAGAAUUUAUAAUCAGUUGAAGCUCUAACCCAAUGUGACUGGUGUCCUCAUAAGAAAAGGAAAUAUGGACAGACAGAAAGACACCAGAGACUUCCACACACAGACAAAAAAAGUCACAUGAAGACAUAGGGAGAGGGCAGCCAUCUGCAAGCAAAUGAGAGAAGUCUCAAGAGAAACCAAAGCUGACAACACUCUAAUCUUAGAAUUCCAGCCUCCAGAACUGUGAGAAAAUACAUUUCUGUUGUUUUUUUAAAAAGAG
rnacentral:lncRNA from 13 species